AUAUACAAGUAUACUAUGCUGAAAACACCGGUUCUCGUCUGAUCACUGAAGUUAAGUAGCAUAAAGUCUGAUUAGUAUGGAGUUCAAGUGCCCUAUUGAACCCAUUUGGAUCCAUUUGUGUU
rnacentral:rRNA from 1 species